rnacentral:rRNA from 1 species
CCAGCAUCCUUCAUGUCAGUGUCUCCAAUGACAACAUUAGCGGUCUUGCCGCCUUUCCCAGGAUGACGCUUGUCAUAGCGAUUAGGGCAACUAGGAGCCCAAUGAUCAGGAUCUCCACACACAUGACAAGCACCUUUCUUCUUGUCAUUCUUCUUCUUGAAGUUCGUGUGUUGCACAGCCUUGUUCUUCCCAUCAAACUUUUCUUUACCAUCAAACUUGCCCUUGUUCUUGAACUUGUGGGGCUGGAAGUUCUUCUUCUGUACCAGAUUGGCACUAGAUCCUCCCUCAAUACCUCGAGCACGUGUGUCCUUUGCUCUCGCCUUUUCUUCCACAUCAAGAGU